UACGAAGGGGGCGAGCGUUGUUCGGAAUUACUGGGCGUAAAGGGCGCGUAGGCGGUGUGUCAAGUCAGGCGUGAAAGCCCCGGGCUCAACCUGGGAACGGCGCUUGAGACUGGCACGCUCGAGUUCGGGAGAGGGUGGUGGAAUUCCCAGUGUAGAGGUGAAAUUCGUAGAUAUUGGGAAGAACACCGAUGGCGAAGGCAGCCAUCUGGACCGACACUGACGCUGAGGCGCGAAAGCGUGGGGAGCAAACAGG
rnacentral:rRNA from 1 species